rnacentral:rRNA from 1 species
AACGAACGCUGGCGGCAUGCCUAACACAUGCAAGUCGAACGAGACCUUCGGGUCUAGUGGCGCACGGGUGCGUAACGCGUGGGAACCUGCCCUUAGGUUCGGAAUAACUCCCCGAAAGGGGUGCUAAUACCGGAUAAUGUCUUCGGACCAAAGAUUUAUCGCCUUUUGAUGGGCCCGCGUUGGAUUAGCUAGUUGGUAGGGUAAAAGCCUACCAAGGCGACGAUCCAUAGCUGGUCUGAGAGGAUGAUCAGCCACACUGGGACUGAGACACGGCCCAGACUCCUACGGGAGGCAGCAGUGGGGAAUAUUGGACAAUGGGCGAAAGCCUGAUCCAGCAAUGCCGCGUGGGGGAUGAAGGCAUUAGUGUUGUAAAGCGCUUUUACCCGGGAUGAGAAUGACAGUACCGGGAGAAUAAGCUCCGGCUAACUCCGUG